UACGAAAGGUGCAAGCGUUACUCGGAAUCACUGGGCGUAAAGCGUACGUAGGCGGACUUACAGGUCAAUUGUGAAAUACCUGGGCUCAACCCGGGAACCUGCAGUUGAAACCGUUUGUCUUGAAUACCUGAGAGGGUGGGGAAUACCGUGGUGGAGAAGUGAAAUUCGUAGAGAUCAGGUGGAACACCGGAGGCGAAGGCGCCUGC
rnacentral:rRNA from 1 species